rnacentral:rRNA from 1 species
GAUGAACGCUGGCGGCGUGCCUAAUACAUGCAAGUCGAGCGAACGGACGAGAAGCUUGCUUUUCUGAUGUUAGCGGCGGACGGGUGAGUAACACGUGGAUAACCUACCUAUAAGACUGGGAUAACUUCGGGAAACCGGAGCUAAUACCGGAUAAUAUUUUGAACCGCAUGGUUCAAAAGUGAAAGACGGUCUUGCUGUCACUUAUAGAUGGAUCCGCGCUGCAUUAGCUAGUUGGUAAGGUAACGGCUUACCAAGGCAACGAUGCAUAGCCGACCUGAGAGGGUGAUCGGCCACACUGAAACUGAGACACGGUCCAGACUCCUACGGGAGGCAGCAGUAGGGAAUCUUCCGCAAUGGGCGAAAGCCUGACGGAGCAACGCCGCGUGAGUGAUGAAGGUCUUCGGAUCGUAAAACUCUGUUAUUAGGGAAGAACAGAUGUGUAAGUAACUGUGCACAUCUUGACGGUACCUAAUCAGAAAGCCACGGCUAACUACGUG